ensembl:lncRNA
AAAAAACAUAAGGGAAAUAAUAGAAAUACACACAUACAUUUUAAUGUCAUGUAUAUCCUCUUUAUUGAUGAUUUAUUAUUGUCAUAUAUAACCUCAGACAUAUUUAAAAUACAAAUCUCAGUGGGAAGUGGAGAGAGCUCUGAGCUAACCCCCUGGAGACCGGGGUUCAAGUCCGGUUGAUGUCCUCUGUUGGAAGACUCAUAUCUCUAUUUCAUGCAAAUUAUAAAGUCAAGCAUAAUCUUUGCGAUGACUUUAUCCGGUGUCUUGAUGGUGCAUUGAUAAGUUCGGAGGUUAACACUCUAAACAGUUCAUGUUCGGAUCCCUGCACAAAUGUUAUUGGUCGUCAUGAAAAUAAAACAUAAGGGGUAACACUGUUGUUUUUUAUUGGUCGUCAUGAAAAAAAACAUAAGGGGGGAAACACUGUUGUUUUUUAUUGGUCGUCAUGAAAAAAAACAUAAGGGGUAACACUGUUGUUUUUUAUCAGUUGUCAUAAAAA